UCAGCAGAACUAACAGGAGACGAUGUGGUAAGGUAUUCAGCAGAACUAACAGGAGACUAUGUGGUAAGGUACUCAGCAGAACUAACAGGAGACUAUGUGGUAAGGUAUUCAGCAGAACUAACAGGAGACUAUGUGGUAAGGUAUUCAGCAGAACUAACAGGAGACGAUGUGGUAAGGUAUUCAGCAGAACUAACAGGAGACUAUGUGGUAAGGUACUCAGCAGAACUAACAGGAGACUAUGUGGUAAGGUACUCAGCAGAACUAACAGGAGACGAUGUGGUAAGGUACUCAGCAGAACUAACAGGAGACUAUGUGGUAAGGUAUUCAGCAGAACCAACAGGAGACUAUGUGGUAAGGUAUUAAUUCAGCAGUUCUACAGAUCUGUAUUGUUAUAUACUGCUGCUCUUUGUUUUUCUUACCUCAUACUUAAAAAAAAAAGAUAUUUUCUUAAAACUGCUUUGU